CAGCAUCGCCGCGGGAAUACAGAGGGUGCGAGCGUUAAUCGGAUUUACUGGGCGUAAAGCGUGCGUAGGCGGCUUCUUAAGUCGGAUGUGAAAUCCCUGAGCUUAACUUAGGAAUUGCAUUCGAUACUGGGAAGCUAGAGUAUGGGAGAGGAUGGUAGAAUUCCAGGUGUAGCGGUGAAAUGCGUAGAGAUCUGGAGGAAUACCGAUGGCGAAGGCAGCCAUCUGGCCUAAUACUGACGCUGAGGUACGAAAGCAUGGGGAGCAAACAGGAUUAGAUACCCAAGUAGUCCCUGUCUCUUAUACA
rnacentral:rRNA from 1 species